rnacentral:rRNA from 1 species
GUGGGGAAUAUUGGACAAUGGGCGAAAGCCUGAUCCAGCCAUGCCGCGUGUGUGAAGAAGGUCUUCGGAUUGUAAAGCACUUUAAGUUGGGAGGAAGGGCAGUAAGUUAAUACCUUGCUGUUUUGACGUUACCGACAGAAUAAGCACCGGCUAACUUCGUGCCAGCAGCCGCGGUAAUACGAAGGGUGCAAGCGUUAAUCGGAAUUACUGGGCGUAAAGCGCGCGUAGGUGGUUGUGUAAGUUGGAGGUGAAAUCCCCGGGCUCAACCUGGGAACUGCAUCCAAAACUGCAUGACUAGAGUACGGUAGAGGGGAGUGGAAUUUCCUGUGUAGCGGUGAAAUGCGUAGAUAUAGGAAGGAACACCAGUGGCGAAGGCGACUACCUGGACUGAUACUGACACUGAGGUGCGAAAGCGUGGGGAGCAAACAGGAUUAGAAACCCCUGUAGUCC